GAGACCUGCGUUUCAACACCCGUGAAGUCUGCAUUUCAAGACCCUCCCUCUCCAACUGUAUCGAAGGACUUGUGCACAGGCUUCAUCUGAAGAUUCUUGAUUUUCAUCUUUUCGGCACAACUACGAAGUUGACAACCAGAAUUAUGGCAACUAGUAGCGGUGUGUCCAUAAACUGGCCUUAUCCUUUGAGGGCAGAAGAUGAGGUGGUAUUGGGACGAAUACCUCAAUGAUAUUGUGGCAUUCCCUCCAAACUGCGGACAUUGGCCAAGCCCAACAGUUUUGGGAGGCGUUUUUUUAAUUGUCGACAUUAUAAGGGUCAAAAUCAGUGUGGAUUUUUCCAAUGGGUUGAUGUUGCAAUGUCGCUACCAAUUUGUUGUGAGCGGACGUUACAGUUAGCAGAACGAAGAAGUGAAAGGAUAGCGGUUGAACGUGCAAGAAUAGAAGACUCUAAGUUUCAAUCAAUGAAGAUGAAGUACAAAUGUGCCUUGAUCACAUCUUGGGUUUUAUUUAUUACCUUAUUAUGUUAAAAUUUAUAAACUUAAUGAUAAUGUAAAUCAGUUAAUGCUACCUUAAAUGAUUCCCCAUUAAA